AUCACUUCUCAGCCUUUUGGCUAAGAUCAAGUGUAGUAUCUGUUCUUAUCAGUGAGGGAUAGUUUUCACUGGUCUUAUUGCAAUAUUCUGAGACUUUCUCCGAUCUUGUAUGGAUAUACCUACU
ensembl:snRNA U2 U2 spliceosomal RNA